rnacentral:lncRNA from 1 species
CGGGUCCUACCUGGAGCGACACCGCGCGGCAGGGCGCCAGGCUCCGCGGCGUGGGCCGCCGCGCCCGCCCCAGAGGUCGUUUCCCCUGCAGUUUCCAACAUGGCAGGCAGGCAGGUUUUAUAGACAUGGACAAGAAGUCUGCACACAGAAGUUCUGAGGAUGCCAGGACCGGCAAAAGUGGAGGUAAACACAAACAAAAGAAAAGAGAAAAGCAAAACCAAGAACACCACCGAUCCCGACAUAGGUCAACAUCUCAUUCUUCAGAUGACUGUGUGUUUCCUUCUUCUGUAUCAUCUUCAGGAAGCCAAACGGAUUCAAGUCUAGAAGGUGCUGCCAAGGGAAGAAUUAAGAGAAAGAGAGGAAAGAAAAGGAGUAAACGGAGAAAAGAAAGAAAGGAGGCAUCUUCCAAGAUGUCCAUCAUUCUGUCUGGUCCUCCGUCUUUGAUCCGCACCAUUUGCCACUGAGACAUCAUCCUUCCUGUCUGCCUAGUCCUUUCAGGACAGAAGAUGAAACAGCAAGAAAAAAGAAGAAAAACAGGAGGAAACAAUCACAUGAUAUCACCUUUCCAAG